GGACAUGGUGGUGGACACGGACAUGGCCCUCAUGCUCAUGGAUGUGAGAAGAAGCACAGGCGCCGGCACAAGCAAGGACACAGGCACCUCAAAUGCCACAAGAAGGGGAGGGAUUGUCACGGGGACUCCAGCAGCUCCUGCAGCAGUGACUCUGACUAGAUGAAGAUUUCUGGGGGGACCUGCAUGGAAACAUUGCUAUUUUAUACUUUCUGCUUUUAAUAUUACUUUUUUUUUAACACAUGUAAGGAACAAAAAUAAACAUAAAGAAUAUGUAAAACAGAAGGUUGCUUCCCACAUCUAUAAAAACCGGAUGGUUUGUGGAGUAUCAUUUUAAGCCUU